GUUUGUCUCUUCCAGACUCAAAGCUGUAAAACUGCAAAUGGUUCCUCAUAUGGAGCCCCAGAUGCAGUCCAUGACUAAGAUCUACCACAGAGCCCUAGACCGGCCUGUUAGCCCAUGCUCCGAUGUUGAUGACAUCAAAGGCACACCUUCCGAGGAAAUCUCAACUGCACGACCCCUACUAAGCCCCAAUUCAGCAGGAAGCAGUUAAGAGCAGUCGUUGGCUAACAUCCCCAAUAGUAUGUGGGUUUUCCUGUUGAGAGGGGGGACUGAGAGACAGGACUAGCUGGAUUUCCUAGGCCAACUAAGAAUCCCUAAGCCUAGUUGGGAAGGUGACCGCAUCCACCUUUAAACACGGGGCUUGCAACUUAGCUCACACCCGACCAAUCAGGUAGUAAAGAGAGCUCACUAAAAUGCUAAUUAGGCAAAAACAAGAGGUAAAGAAAUAGCCAAUCAUCUAUCGCCUGAGAGCACAGUGGGGAGGGACAAUGAUCGGGAUAUAAACCCAGGCAUUCGGGCCGGCAACGGCAACCCCCAUUGCGUCCCCUCCCAUUGUAUGGGAGCUCUGUUUUCAUUCUAUUAAAUCUUGCAACUGCACAAAAACAAAGAGGCAUUAUUUGCAGAUGAAAAAAAUUGCAUAUCCACAUCCAUCUAUUUAUAUAAAUCCCCUUUCGCUCCCGUGCAGUCUGCGCCAUUUGUGGAGAACUGCAUUU
rnacentral:lncRNA from 1 species